rnacentral:lncRNA from 1 species
CUGAGGCGGCCUCUGGAGAAAGGCAGGGUGGGUGGAGGGUGGAAGGGACACAAGAGGCAGAGUAGCUCAUGUGCGUGCGUGUGCGUGUGUGCACGUGGAGACAGGGUAGCAUUAUGUAGUCACAAUGUAGUUCCAGCUGGUCUCAAACCAUGGCGAUCCUCCUGCCUCAGCCUCUCCAGUGCUGGGCUCUCACGUGUGCGCCACCGCGCCCAGCUGCUGUGCUUUCCACCCGUCUUAUUUGCUCCACCAUCUCGUCUUCCUUGUGCCCGGGAAGCCUCUGCUCCCCACCUCAUGGCCAUCAGGGUGCCCCUGUCACAACACCAGGACCUCGAGGGCUUCAGGGUGCAGCUCAGGGCUGGCGCACUGGCCCUGCCUUCGAGCCCUGGGGUCCAUUCCCAGCAGCGCAGAAGCAAGUGUGGGCCCGGAAAAGGAAGAGAACUCUGGUGCCACAGCAGGGACACGAGGACAGGAUCUGAGCGAAGGGAAGAAGUCAAUCACAAAGGCAGAUACUGUGUGAUCAGUGCCCACAGCCAUCCCAGCCACAGAGGAGGCAGAGUGGGUGCUAGAGGGGACAUCUGUGUUGUGUGACUCUCAACACAAAUCAGAAAAAAAGAGAACAAAAACUGCAGAGAAAAAAAGAUAUUGUAUUUAUUUUACAAAUGUAUAUACGGACGAGUAUUGCACUUAGUCCCUCGAUCUCGGCUGAAAGAGAGAAAAAGGGCCCCUGGGGGGGGGCCCACGGGGAAGCGGGGGGGGGUACGGGGUGUCAGGGUCCAGGCUCCGCCCCCUCCAACCCCGGUUCGCAGGCGUGUGACCAGCCAGGCUCCCCGACUCGCACCCCGGCUUCCGCCCCGCGCGGAGGAACG